GAGCCGUUCGCUCGGAAGAGCGACAAGCUGCUUUUUUUUUUUUUUCGUAGUUUUAAUUGGUACUUUGGGCCUGAAGGCGGGGGCCUCACUGAGAAAGGAAACUGAGGCUGAGCAGACACUCUCUGCGUAGGAUCAUCAUGCCGAGCAUAAACUGGACUUUCCCACUUGCGUGGCAGGAGUGAGACAGAUCACUGUGUGCUAAAUGAGCAUCUGAGAUGUCCUUGGCGUGUACACCCCUAUGGAAUCUGGUUCAUCUACAAUCUGUCAGAAAGCAUCAGAGGUGGUUUUGAGUCCUUAUGUCCUGAGCCUGUGAACAAAAUGUACCUUGUGUGGAGGAAAAUGAGAUCCUGAGUGAAGUCUACAAUGUCAUUGACUCUGAAGAAGGACUCAGAGACCCAUUGGUGUUUAAUGACCCUUACUGGCCUAUGCAAUAGGAACUGACGCAGAUAUCAUACCCAUGAGACGCGAAGAGUUUGUAAAAGGUAUCACACUGGCUCAACUUUCUUACAUAAUUAAGACUUUGCAGCUUGAGGAAUGCCAAGAACCACAUCUGCACUGAAAUCAAUCAUCUGUUUGAUGACUUCCACUAACAUAGAUGGAGGAUACAUAGCCCAUUUCAGUGGGACACCCCAGGCCCUGCCUAUGGUGGUUAAGUCUGGCUUAAAUUCAGAAAACACAAGAAAUAAGAAGACCAUUUUGAGAAGAGCAGGUAGUUGCCUUAAGAAAAUCCCUGUCAUAUGCACUCCGGGAUUUGGACUCAAAUCCUAGUUAUACAGCCAGAUCUCACAUGUGAGAAAACUGCUCCCAAAACGAAUUCCCAGCUUGUCACUGCCCUCGGUAUUUGAAGAUGACAUUUCUGACCACGAUUGCCCUCCACUUGUAAGAGUGGAGGAAGAAACCAAUGUGCAAUGAAUACCUCCCACGUGGAAAGAUGGCCCUUUACUUUCUGGAUCCCUUAGAUUUGUGGACUGCGGCACACCAAACUGCACUGAGCCCUUACGGUCCCCAGCCUGCCAGGUGGUUGGACGUUGGGCAGCUAAGAAAACUUGGAGUGUUUCUGUUUUCUUUUCCUUUGCCUGCCUUUGCUUCUCUCCGGUCCACUGUACAGCAGCAGCUUAGGAAUCUGACUGUCAUUCUCCUGAAAUCUACAGCCCGGGAGGGCUGGGCUGUGCUGAGCGGCAGCGCCCCUCUGCUGGCAGACUGGCUCGGUUCCAGCCCUCGUUUUGAAUGAUCCUGUGUCUCCCGUGGGUGUAAAGUGCUGCUCGUGCCUGGGCUGGUGAGCUCAUGGGCAAAGUUCUAACGAUGGCCUGUACGGCCAAGGAGCACCACACAGGGACCGUCUCUGUGCUCUGACCGCUGAAUCACCAAUUGUUCCUGGGGUAAAUGUGUGUCAGAAGAAAGUGGAUCGUUAGUGUGGUCUAUGUGUCCAAAAGGUAAUGAAUUUCAUCUCUUUCCAUGUUGCUAAUAAGGCAAAAUAUGGUUUAUUAAAUGGUCCAAGAAUAACCAAAAUGACUACUGUAUUGGUGGCUGAUUUAGAUGAAGGAUAGGUGAAAUUUAGCUCAUGAAAUUAAUAAUACAGUUUUAUUAAGACAUCAUGUUUCUGGACCAUGUUUUAAAUAUAUUAUUUGUUAUAUGAUAUAAGAGUUUAUAUCUUAAAGAUACUUAUUUUACUAAGUAGAUAAAAUUUUGCUUCUCCCCAAAAUAAUAUUAAUUUUAAUUUUCAGCUGAGAAUAUGUGAUUAACAAUGCUUCAUUAUUUUUGAAAAUCUUAUUUAGUAUUUUUAAUACAGCAACUCUAAAGUGUGAUUUUAAAGUGUUUAUCUUAUUACUUUCAUUUCAUUGCAUAGGAAUGAACCAUAGGAACCAUUGUAUAGGAACCAUACAAAAUUUACACUCAGAGUGAGGUUCAUUGUGCUUGUAUAUACAUGUUUCAAACUUUUCUGAUAAUAUAAAACAUAUUGGCCAGUUUCUUGUUGUAUAUGUUUAGGUUGUCAUGUUUAUUAUAUCAGUGUGGCUGAAAAGAAUGCCGUAUAAGGGGUCCAAGUCUCAGACCCCAGAGAAGACCAACAAGUAGUGCGAGAGAGAGAGAGAGAGAGAGACAGAGACAGAGACAGAGAGAACAAUGCCCCCCACCCACCGCGCACACCCACCCUUCCCUCAGGGUGCAGGGCAUCAUCUACUGUGCAUAC